CAGGACCAUAGAAAUAGAACUGGAAAGGCACGUCAAGAGCUCUCUAAGUCCAAAUUCCACUUUUUUACCAGUGGGAAAACCAUAGCCCAGGAGGUCACUAACGGAUAUAACACUACAACUUCCUGGAUAGCUGAUAAAAAGGAAAAGAAAGAAAAAAGAAGCCAAAGCUGCAACAGAUUUGGACCCAAUCACCAGAGACUGUCCAUUGACUCUGGGCUUCUGACUGGUGAGAGUCCUCCACAUCUUGGCCAAGGUUCAGGCCCCAUGUAGGACACCUCUGGUCAAGAGAAA
rnacentral:lncRNA from 1 species